UUCCUGCCCACCACUAAGUCCAUUCCCUUGCAGGCUUGCAGCAAGCUAUUGUGGCGAUAGGUCUGCUCUCUGGCUGUUACGCUUCAUCAUCGUGAAUUGUAAGAUGUCCAGCGAAUCUGAGACAGAUUUUCUGUGGAGCGACGAGGAGCUGGAAAUGUUACAACCUCAAAAAAAGACAGAGGAUUGAAAAUUAUGUGGAGGAUGUGGUGCCACAAUAUGACAGGGAAUUUGUAGAGCAUUUUCGGGUGCGGCGUCACGUGGCAGAUGACCUUUGCGAAAGGUUUAGGAAUUCCAGAUUCUACAAUUAUCAGGCAGGGGGAAAUGGGAAACUGCUCCCACUGCAGCAUAUAUUGAUCUUUUUGUGGUUCACGGGCCACGAAGCUGCAGGUUUCAGGGAUGUAGCAGAUUUAACAUUUGUAUUUCUUCUCUGCGAUGCGUUAUUCAGAGAGUUACAAACUUUAUUAGUGGUUUGGGAAGAGAGGUUAUAAAGUGGCCGUCCGCCGAAGAAAGAGCAGAGAUUGAGGCUCAUUGCCUGGUGCGAUUGGGGCAAUCGACGAUUCCCACAUUAGGAUUGAUAGACCUCAGAAAGAUCCCCAGUCCUAUAUGAAUACGAAGAAUUAUUUUUCUAUUCAGCUUCAAGUAGUUUGUGAUCAAAAUCGACGGAUUAGGGACUUAUUCGUCGGCUAUCCGGGCUCUGUACACGACGGGAGGGUUUUCAGGACGUCCACACUCUACCACACACUCGAAGAAAAGUUUGGAGAUUUUCAUAUUCUGGGUGACAGUGCCUAUCCCUGCACCAGAAAUUUAUUAACACCCUUUAGAAAUACAGGGAAUUUGUCCAGAGUGCAAUGUGAAUUCAAUAGGGCACAGUCAAAAAAAACAGGUGCGUUGUGGAACAUUGCUUUGGCAUGUUGAAGCAGCGUUUCAGACAGUUGUAUCAUCUGAAAUUGAGGAGUGCUAGAGAGAUGGCGCACUUCAUCCGGGCGUGCUGUGUGCUACACAAUCUCGCCGUGGAAGAUAACUUGGAGUUAGAAGAUAACGAAGGUGAAGAAGACGAUGCACCGGCUGAAGAACGAGUAGUCGGCUUCUACAACAGGGAUGACAGAAGUGGCAUUGCAAAGAGAAAUAUGAUUGCAGCACAGUUGCAAAUGUAAAAGCAGCACCAGAUGCCCCAUCACCAACAUAUUACAACAAA